rnacentral:rRNA from 1 species
AUGAACGCUGGCGGCGUGCCUCAUCCAUGCCAGUCGAGCGAACAGACGAGGAGCUUGCUCCUCUGACGUUAGCGGCGGACGGGUGAGUAACACGUGGAUAACCUACCUAUAAGACUGGGAUAACUUCGGGAAACCGGAGCUAAUACCGGAUAAUAUAUUGAACCGCAUGGUUCAAUAGUGAAAGACGGUUUUGCUGUCACUUAUAGAUGGGUCCGCGCCGCAUUAGCUAGUUGGUAAGGUAACGGCUUACCAAGGCAACGAUGCGUAGCCGACCUGAGAGGGUGAUCGGCCACACUGGAACUGAGACACGGUCCAGACUCCUACGGGAGGCAGCAGUAGGGAAUCUUCCGCAAUGGGCGAAAGCCUGACGGAGCAACGCCGCGUGAGUGAUGAAGGUCUUCGGAUCGUAAAACUCUGUUAUUAGGGAAGAACAAAUGUGUAAGUAACUAUGCACGUCUUGACGGUACCUAAUCAGAAAGCCACGGCUAACUACGUG